rnacentral:ncRNA from 18 species
GGCAACUUGCCUCCGAUUGGGGGUGCUGUUUAUGUACGAACUUAUGUCUUUGGUUAUUGCCCCACUUUUUGUGGGUCUAGUAAUCUUACUAGUUGACCAUUGGUUAGAUGAUUAGCAGAUAACCAUGCAAGUUGUCCUAGCCCACACGUCUAUCCGCAAGACGAAAAA